rnacentral:misc_RNA from 1 species
GAUGAAGAACGCAGCGAAAUGCGAUAAGUAAUGUGAAUUGCAGAAUUCAGUGAAUCAUCGAAUCUUUGAACGCACAUUGCGCCCUCUGGUAUUCCGGGGGGCAUGCCUGUUCGAGCGUCAUUAUAACCACUCAAGCUCUCGCUUGGUAUUGGGGUUCGCGGUUUCGCGGCCCCUAAAAUCAGUGGCGGUGCCUGUCGGCUCUACGCGUAGUAAUACUUCUCGCGAUUGAGUUCGAUAGGUCUACUUGUCAGUAACCCCCAAUUUUUACAGGUUGACCUCGGAUCAGGUAGGGAUACCCGCUGAACUUAAGCAUAUCAAUAACGGAGGA